rnacentral:rRNA from 1 species
UACAGGGGUCCCAAGCGUUGUUCGGAUUCAUUGGGCGUAAAGGGUGUGUAGGUGGCGCCGUAAGUCGGGUGUGAAAUCUCGGGGCUUAACUCCGAAACUGCAUUCGAUACUGCGGUGCUUGAGGACUGGAGAGGAGACUGGAAUUCAUGGUGUAGCAGUGAAAUGCGUAGAGAUCAUGAGGAAGACCAGUGGCGAAGGCGGGUCUCUGGACAGUUCCUGACACUGAGGCACGAAGGCCAGGGGAGCAAACGGG